GAUGAACGCUGGCGGUAUGCUUAACACAUGCAAGUCGAACGGUCACUUCGGUGAUAGUGGCGGACGGGUGAGUAACGCGUGAGAAACUGUCUUCAGGUCGGGGACAACAGUUAGAAAUGACUGCUAAUACCGGAUGUUCCUUUGGGUGAAAGAUUUAUUGCCUGAAAAAGAGCUCGCGUCAGAUUAGCUAGUAGGUGGUGUAAGAGACUACCUAGGCUCCGAUCUGUAGCUGGUCUGAGAGGACGAUCAGCCACACUGGAACUGAGACACGGUCCAGACUCCUACGAGAGGCAGCAGUGGGGAAUUUUCCGCAAUGGGCGAAAGCCUGACGGGGCAAUACCGAGUGAGGGACGAAGGCGUUUGGGUCGUAAACCUCUUUUCUCAAGGAAGAUGAUGACGGUACUUGAGGAAUAAGCAUCGGCUAACUCUGUG
rnacentral:rRNA from 1 species